rnacentral:lncRNA from 1 species
CCACUGCGCGCGGCCGGGGGAUGCUGUGUCCUUGGCUGCGGGGAGCCUGCUGGGCCAGGGGACCGAGUGGAGCCUAGCUGCCCCCGAGCCUCCUUGUGGUGUCUGCUGUGUGCGAGUGUGUACUGGAAAGCUAAUUCUGGUUCGCUCGGCCGGGCCUAAUUGGCAUUCCACAAGAUGGACACCUAGGGGGACGCGAUUGGUUUCUUCCACACACAGUCACUUCCACACACUUACACCUCCACACACUCCCUUCAGCACGUCAAGUGGUUUGGUUUAGGCGGUGGCUUUUUUUUUUUUUAAAGGUCGGGUGCCAGCUUCAGGCGAGGAAGGAGAGGCUAGGAAUCGGUGUGGUGAUUAGGGAAAGGAUGUUGUCAAAGAUGGAAAAGAGCCUGUUGUCUGAUGUAGUUGGUGGUGUUGGAAACUGCGCAAAACAGCCACAGAUGAGUGUUUCUUGACUGGGCUCCCCAGGGAGUCUAGGUGCUGCCUCAACUUAUGGCCUUUUUCUCGAGGAACUGUGAUAUGGAGUGUGUGUGUGUGUGUGUUGUAAAGGAGCUCACCGGCCAAAUGGAGAAUAGUAGCAAGGGAGGCACAUGGAGAACUGUUUAUAUGAAAACAGUCCCGGCCAUCUUAACCAUUCCAUUGUUGAAUUAAUGGUUAGCCAAGUCUUUACUUAUUUUUUAAUAUUUAUUUAUUUUGCGACAGAACCUUGUGUAUCUCUUUGGCUUUGCUGUGUAGCUGAGGAUAACCUGCUUCCACCUUGCAGUUGUGGGGCCCUAGAUCAAGUUUAUUUUAUGAUUUAUUUUAAAGUGUAGGGGAUUACAUCCCAGGCCUUACACAAGAUAGGAGUGCUUUACUUCUGAGCCAUGAGAAAGUUGAUGACCUUCAAAUUGACUGCAACAGACAUCCUUUGGGGUGACAUACAUCUGUGAUCCCAACACUGGGAAGAUGUAGGAGGCAGGAGUAUCACAAGUUCAAAAUCAUUCCUGGAUAAACAGCAAAUUUGAAGCCAGCCUGGGGCAUGAACUCUGUGUCCCUAUCAUUGAAUAUCCCUGGUUCACCACUAGGGAAAAAACAAGGUCUCCUGUAGCCUCAGCUAGCCUGAAAUUCACUCUGUAGCUGAAGAUGGUCUUGAACUCCUGAUACUCCUGCCUUGUAACAGCUUCCUGCUUGUAAUAGAGCCAGUCUUGAGAGUCACUGAACUUCUACAUCUAGCUCAAAAUAUAUAAGCCCACGGGGCUCAGUGGCUAAGAGGACUUGUUGCUCCUCCAGAGGACCAGCACUUACUUAGUGGCUCACAACAUCUGUGAUCCAGUACCAGGGGAUCCGAUGGCUUCUUCUGACCUCCAUGGGCACCAAGCAUGCAUGUGGUACCCAUACAUACAUGAAGACAAAACAGUCACACAUAAAAUAGAAUGAAUAAAUAUACAAAAUAUAUCAUCCUGGUAUAUUAUGAAAAUGAAAAAUGGUAACAACUGUUUUAGUAAAAAAGUCUGGCAGUUAGUUUCUUGUACAAGUGAACACAUACAGAUGUAGCUCAGUUCCAAUCGGUAUUUACCCAAGAGAAACAAAUACACAGGCCACAUCAAGGUCAGUCAUAGCAGCCCUAUUGAUCACAGCCCCAAAUUUGGUCUGCCCCAGUGUUCCUCUACAGGAAAUGGAAAACCAACCUAAGGUACAUUCACAUCACGACUGUCAGACUUCAGUUCUCAAACAGCAUGCUAAGUGGAAGGAACCAGAGAAAAGAGCCAUGCCACAGUGAAGUGUUGGAAUAGACAAAGUAACUCUCUUCCCUUUUUUGAGGGUCUAACUGUGUAGCUCUGGCUGUCCUAGAACUCAUUAUAUAGACCAGGUUGGCCUCAAACUUACUGAGAUCUGCCUGCCCCUGCCUCCCAAGUGCUGUGGAAUAAUCCUUUUGUGCACUGUGAAU